AAAUUGAAGAGUUUGAUCAUGGCUCAGAUUGAACGCUGGCGGCAGGCCUAACACAUGCAAGUCGAACGGUAACAGGAAGCAGCUUACUGCUUCGCUGACGAGUGGCGGACGGGUGAGUAAUGUCUGGGAAACUGCCUGAUGGAGGGGGAUAACUACUGGAAACGGUGGCUAAUACCGCAUAACGUCGCAAGACCAAAGAGGGGGACCUUCGGGCCUCUUGCCAUCAGAUGUGCCCAGAUGGGAUUAGCUAGUUGGUGAGGUAACGGCUCACCAAGGCGACGAUCCCUAGCUGGUCUGAGAGGAUGACCAGCCACACUGGAACUGAGACACGGUCCAGACUCCUACGGGAGGCAGCAGUGGGGAAUAUUGCACAAUGGGCGCAAGCCUGAUGCAGCCAUGCCGCGUGUAUGAAGAAGGCCUUCGGGUUGUAAAGUACUUUCAGCGGGGAGGAAGGUGUUGUGGUUAAUAACC
rnacentral:rRNA from 1 species